GUGACCCUGCGGUUAAAACCCGCGCGCUGCAGCAUCGCGGAAAACGGGAUUCGCCUCAUUUGAAACUUGAGGAAAAUCUCUAAACACUUUCAUUUUGAUAGAAACCAUUUCCGCCGCUGACGUGCGUCUACGCCCAUCAUUUCAGCUGACACGUUGCUGUAACGUCUCCUCCGUUUCAUGCUCUUUCGAACCCUGUCAGCUGCGGGAAGGAACUUCUAAACUAAAAGCUGGCAAGACUCAGCAGAAAAAAAAUAUCGAAAGCUGCUUCUGCUGCCCCAGCUUCACUCAGGCCCUGGCUGCUCCUUCACUGGUCUACACUGCUGCCUCCUGGAACCACCCACUCUGCAACCAGGUCUGAUGCCCGGUGUGGACAUUCAGGGAUGAGGUCCCCUGGGGCUAAAUGAAUGAACAGAUUCUGAAAAGCAGAAGCUACGUCCGGGGGUCUCUGGGCCACAAAUCACUUUCUGACCUGCAGCCGUGAGGCGUGAGGCUCACUCGGAAGCUCCCGGAACCUGGAGACUGCCCUCACUCAACACUUGAACAAGCAAGGGGCCAGGUUCAAUGAAACACCUGCCCGCCCGGCACACCAGGCUCAAAAGCAAGCAAGCAAGCAAACAAACAAACAAAAUCAAAUCAGGCCUUCACAACUCCCCAAAUCAUGUGUGAGUUUCUACAGAGCAGAAGCCAAAAAUAUAUGUUAUCUAACUAGGUCCUAUUUACAUAUAUUUUUAUGGCUGCUCUAAAAAAUUAUCACAAACAUAGCGGCUUCACCCCGUUUCCCCUGUUGUGAUUAUUACACAUUGGAUGCCUGUAUCAAAAUAUCUCAUGGACCCCAUAAAUAGCAACACCCUGUAUGUACUCAUGACAAUUUUUUAAAAAAGAACACUUACACUUUC
rnacentral:lncRNA from 10 species